CCCAGCUCUCAGGAGGCUGAGGCACAAGAAUUGCUUGAACUGGGAGGUGGAGGUUGCAGUGAGCUGAGAUCUUGCCACUGCACUCCAGGCUGGGCAACAGAUGUGCUCACUCCGCCUUCCACCUUCUGCCAUGGGAUGACCCUCCCCAGACGCUGAUGCCACGUUUUUGGACUUCUCUGCCUCCAGAACUGUGAGAAAUAAGUUUCUUUUUUUAUAACUUACCCAGUCUGUAGUAUUCUGUUAACAGCAGAAAACAUCAGGUGAGGCCAGAACUCUGAUGCCGCCCUUGACAUCACCUUAGUUCCCUCCUGACUGGAUCAGUAUGAUGUCAAAUUAAUUGCAAUGGUGGGUACUUACUAAUUUGCAUUUACUUUUCAUUACAACAUAUCCCACAGGAUUCCAGGGACCUGGGAUGGUCUGUAUUCUUGGCAGUUCUCAAGAUCUACGAGUCUUAUUUCCUGUUAACUUUUUUCCUUUUGCUUGAUCCUAUCGGGCACAUGGAUCUUCCUAAAGUUUUGAUUCUGUAAUUAGUGCUACCAUAAAAAACUGUACAAUUUUGGAGAGUGUUUUU
rnacentral:lncRNA from 1 species